rfam:TPA: Bos taurus chromosome 22, whole genome shotgun sequence.
UGGCUCAGAUGGUAAAGCGUCUGCCCUCAACGCAGGAGACCCGGGUUCAAUCCCUGG